ACAAUAGCGUUAUCAAUAACAAUUAAUGACCACUCUGGUAGUCUGUGUGUACACACACAUAGAGAUGUCAACGGAUCGGAUUCGGGGCGGAUUUUUAAAAACCCGACUCGAAACCCGAGACCCGAACCCGAAUCGGAACCCGACGGAUUUUAAAAAUCCAUAUCCAAACCCGAACCCGACCAAAAAUCCGAAAUCCGAACCCGAACCCGAACCCGAACCCGAAACAAAUAUUUUUUUUUUCAAUAUUUCCAAAUAUAUUAUAUUAAAUCUAAAUUUUUAAAAUACAAAUUCAAAUAUAACAUCAAAUUUUUAUAUAUAUAUUAUAUAUAAUACAAAAUAAAUUCGGAUUCAGAUCGGGUUCGGGUUCGAAUUGGAUACAAUCAAAAUCCAUAUCCGAAUCUAUAUCCGUCGGGUUUCUAUUUUUGAUAUCCAUAUCCGAAUCCACAUUCAUAUCCAUCGAAUAUAUCCGUUUUAUUCGGAUUCAAAUUCGAAUUCAAAUAAAAUUUCGGAUAUUCAUAUCCAUUGACAUCCCUGCACACACACAAAAAGGUGCAGGUAAUUAACAUACAUUUCAUUU
rnacentral:lncRNA from 1 species